AACGAACGCUGGCGGCAGGCCUAACACAUGCAAGUCGAGCGAAGCCUUCGGGCUUAGCGGCGGACGGGUGAGUAACGCGUGGGAGCGUGCCCUUUGCUACGGAAUAGCCCCGGGAAACUGGGAGUAAUACCGUAUGUGCCCUUCGGGGGAAAGAUUUAUCGGCAAAGGAUCGGCCCGCGUUGGAUUAGGUAGUUGGUGGGGUAAUGGCCUACCAAGCCGACGAUCCAUAGCUGGUUUGAGAGGAUGAUCAGCCACACUGGGACUGAGACACGGCCCAGACUCCUACGGGAGGCAGCAGUGGGGAAUAUUGGACAAUGGGCGCAAGCCUGAUCCAGCCAUGCCGCGUGAGUGAUGAAGGCCUUAGGGUUGUAAAGCUCUUUUGUCCGGGAAGAUAAUGACUGUACCGGAAGAAUAAGCCCCGGCUAACUUCGUGCCAGCCGCCGCAGUAAAAC
rnacentral:rRNA from 1 species